UAAUCUGUUUGCGACAACACCAUCAUGCCUGAACAAGAUUUAGUGAGGUAUCUUGAAAGAAGAUACGAAUACUUCCCAGAGGGACAUGAAAUUAUUCUUCAUCGUGUUCCGGUUGUGGUUGUUUUUCGAGCUGUUAACAGUACAGAGAAUGUAGAACAGUAACUUCCGAGUCGUCCGCCGUCACCCGCCCAAUCCUCCGAAGAAUAAAGUAC